CCUUUUUCUUUUAGUACUGCUUUUUACCCCUGUUUUUGUACAGCAAGGGAGGAUCUGCUACUGGAUUACUGUGAGAUCCGCUGAUGUUGCUGAGUAAGUUUGGUGAUCGUAUCCCGGAGGACGUGGCUCAGUUCUACCUGGCUGAGUUGCUUAUGGCCAUCAAUUCAGUCCACAGACUCUGUUCUGUGCACAGGCAUCUGUACCAACAUUGAUCAGUUCAUCUAAACAUGGAAAUUAUGACAAAAUGUUUAAAGCAGCACCAUGCAACUUUUGCUCACGGUUCCCCAAUGUGGUUGAUAAGUGCAAUUGUUUGUUAUCAGUGUCGUAAAUACUGUCGCUGUGUAAGCUUCCCCGUGGGCAGCCAAUACACGUGAAUUUGUUGACCAAAGCUGACAGAACCAAAUGAAGAAACCUUGUUUGGAAACCAUGUCCACGGACCAGGUGGAGCAGUGAUAUGAACAUGAGAUCCUUCAAUGGCUCCAACAACUCCAGGAAAGCCCAC